AUUGAACGCUGGCGGCAGGCUUAACACAUGCAAGUCGAGCGGAGAUGAGGUGCUUGCACCUUAUCUUAGCGGCGGACGGGUGAGUAAUGCUUAGGAAUCUGCCUAUUAGUGGGGGACAACAUUCCGAAAGGAAUGCUAAUACCGCAUACGUCCUACGGGAGAAAGCAGGGGAUCUUCGGACCUUGCGCUAAUAGAUGAGCCUAAGUCGGAUUAGCUAGUUGGCGGGGUAAAGGCCUACCAAGGCGACGAUCUGUAGCGGGUCUGAGAGGAUGAUCCGCCAGACUGGGACUGAGACACGGCCCAGACUCCUACGGGAGGUAGCAGUGGGGAAUAUUGGACAAUGGGGGAAACCCUGAUCCAGCCAUGCCGCGUGUGUGAAGAAGGCCUUAUGGUUGUAAAGCACUUUAAGCGAGGAGGAGGCUACUGAGACUAAUACUCUUGGAUAGUGGACGUUACUCGCAGAAUAAGCACCGGCUAACUCUGUGCCAGCCGCCGCCGUAACAC
rnacentral:rRNA from 1 species